rnacentral:rRNA from 1 species
GACGAACGCUGGCGGCGUGCUUAACACAUGCAAGUCGAACGGAAAGGCCCUGCUUUUGUGGGGUGCUCGAGUGGCGAACGGGUGAGUAACACGUGAGUAACCUGCCCUUGACUUUGGGAUAACUUCAGGAAACUGGGGCUAAUACCGGAUAGGAGCUCCUGCUGCAUGGUGGGGGUUGGAAAGUUUCGGCGGUUGGGGAUGGACUCGCGGCUUAUCAGCUUGUUGGUGGGGUAGUGGCUUACCAAGGCUUUGACGGGUAGCCGGCCUGAGAGGGUGACCGGCCACAUUGGAACUGGGAUACGGCCCAGACUCCUACGGGAGGCAGCGGUGGGGAAUAUUGCACAAUGGGCGGAAGCCUGAUGCAGCAACGCCGCGUGCGGGAUGACGGCCUUCGGGUUGUAAACCGCUUUCGCCUGUGACGAAGCGUGAGUGACGGUAAUGGGUAAAGAAGCACCGGCUAACUACGUG